GCAUUGAUGCGGGCUGGAACCUCUCGGGGUUACAGCCUUGCUGAAUUAUUCACCCUUGUCUUUUGCGUACUUCUUGUUUCCUUGGUGGGUUCGCCCACCACUAGGACAAACAUAAACCUUUUGUAAUUGCAAUCAGCGUCAGUAACAAAUUAAUAAUUACAACUUUCAACAACGGAUCUCUUGGUUCUGGCAUCGAUGAAGAACGCAGCGAAAUGCGAUAAGUAGUGUGAAUUGCAGAAUUCAGUGAAUCAUCGAAUCUUUGAACGCACAUUGCGCCCUUUGGUAUUCCAAAGGGCAUGCCUGUUCGAGCGUCAUUUGUACCCUCAAGCUUUGCUUGGUGUUGGGCGUCUUGUCUCUAGCUUUGCUGGAGACUCGCCUUAAAGUAAUUGGCAGCCGGCCUACUGGUUUCGGAGCGCAGCACAAGUCGCACUCUCUAUCAGCAAAGGUCUAGCAUCCAUUAAGCCUUUUUUUCAACUUUUGACCUCGGAUCAGGUAGGGAUACCCGCUGAACUUAAGCAUAUCAAUAAGCCGGAGGAA
rnacentral:rRNA from 1 species